rnacentral:rRNA from 1 species
AUUGAACGCUGGCGGCAGGCCUAACACAUGCAAGUCGAGCGAGUGGCGGACGGGUGAGUAAUGUCUGGGGAUCUGCCCGAUGGAGGGGGAUAACUACUGGAAACGGUAGCUAAUACCGCAUACGAUCGGAUGAACCCAUAUGGGAUUAGCUAGUAGGGGGGGUAAAGGCUCACCAAGGCGACGAUCCCUAGCUGGUCGGAGAGGAUGAACAGCCACACUGGGACUGAGACACGGCCCAGACUCCUACGGUAGGCAGCAGUGGGGAAUAUUGCACAAUGGGCGCAAGCCUGAUGCAGCCAUGCCGCGUGUAUGAAGAAGGCCUUCGGGUUGUAAAGUACUUUCAGCGGGGAGGCGUUACCCGCAGAAGAAGCACCGGCUAACUCCGUGCCAGCCGCCGCGGUAAUAC